CGUAGUAAUUUUAUUUGUUGGUGUAUAUUUGAUAAUUCUUUCGAUUUUUAUAUUUAUUAUAUUUUAUUUAUUGAAGUGAAUGUGUCUAAAUAAAUGUCGCGUUUUUAUAUGUGGGUUCAUCAGUGUAAUACAGCUAUUUCUGUGUCAUUAUAAUAUAUAAAUAGUUUUACAAAAUGGCCGCCGAUUGUAAAUAAAAAGGUGAUCCAAUAGUGUUGAGGAAGACUGCAAAUUAGUUUUUAUGAAAUAUUUUGUAUGUAAUUUAAUAAAAGUAUAGUAUUGAUUUAAAA